GAAAUGCGAUAAGUAAUGUGAAUUGCAGAAUUCAGUGAAUCAUCGAAUCUUUGAACGCACCUUGCGCUCCUUGGUAUUCCGAGGAGCAUGCCUGUUUGAGUGUCAUUAAUAUAUCAACCUUCUCUUUUUGAGUGGUUUGGAUGUGGGGGUUUGCUGGCCUCUUAAAAAGGUCUUGGCUCUCCUGAAAUACAUUAGCAGAACAACCCUGUUCAUUGGUGUGAUAAACUAUCUACGCUAUUGAAUGUGAAGGGCAGUUUGGCUUUCUAACAGUCCUUGGACAAGCUCAUCAUUAAUGUGACCUCAAAUCAGGUAGGACUACCCGCUGAACUUAA
rnacentral:misc_RNA from 1 species